rnacentral:misc_RNA from 1 species
UCCGGUUUGUCACCGGCAGUCCCACUAGAGUGCUCAACUGAAUGUAGCAACUAAUGGCAAGGGUUGCGCUCGUUGCGGGACUUAACCCAACACCUCACGGCACGAGCUGACGACAGCCAUGCACCACCUGCGCAGAAGUCCCUUGCGGGAGGUGCUCACUUUCGUGAGCAUUUCCUCUGCAUGUCAAACCCAGGUAAGGUUCUUCGCGUUGCGUCGAAUUAAACCACAUGCUCCACCGCUUGUGCGGGUCCCCGCCAAUUCCUUUGAGUUUUAGCCUUGCGGCCGUACUCCCCAGGCGGGGUGCUUAAUGCGUUAGCUUCGGCACGGAUGGGGUCGAUGUCCACCCACACCUAGCACCCAACGUUUACGGCUAGGACUAC